rnacentral:rRNA from 1 species
AUUUUUAAUGGCCGCGGUAUUUUGACCGUGCAAAGGUAGCAUAAUCAUUAGUUCAUUAAUUGUGGACUUGUAUGAAUGGUUUGACGAAAUAUUUACUGUCUCAUAUUUAUUGUUGGAAUUUAAAUUUUUAGUUAAAAUGCUAAAAUUUUUUUAUAGGACGAUAAGACCCUAUAGAUCUUUAUUAAUUUUGUAUUUAUUUAUUUUUUGUUUAUUUUUUUAUAAUUAUUUUAUUUUUUUGGUUGGGGUGACUUGGGGAUAUAAAUAACUCUUUAAUUUUUAUAUCAAUUAUUUUUGUAUAAAUGACCUUUUAUUAUUGUUUUAAGAUAUAGAUACCUUAGGGAUAACAGCGUAAUUCUUUUUGAGAGUUCUUAUUGACAAAGGAGAUUGCGACCUCGAUGUUGGAUUAAGAUUACUUUUGGGUGCAGAUGCUCAUAUUAGGUAAGUCUGUUCGACUUUUAAAUUCUUACAUGAUCUGAGUUCAAACCGGA